rnacentral:lncRNA from 1 species
AUAAUUAAUUAAAUAGACAAUUAUUUUUAAGUUAAUCCUAACUAAACCCAUGUUUUAAUUGAGAUUACUAAUCCCAUGAUCUUAUGAUUAAAUUCAAAUUUAGUCCCAUGAUCUAAUCCAAAGUGGAGCUUGCCAAAGAUAAGAUAAAUAAUUAGUUCCAAAAUUAAUCCAAUCCUAUACUUUAUCCUACCUCCCAAACAUAACCUAAGAAUAUACAUCAUCAUAUAAUAAAUAGUGAAUGGAUGGUAAAACUUAGCAUUUUGUUGAGGCAGAAACUUCAAUUAUUAUUUUUUUGGUGAAUGAAACUUUCAAUUAUUGUUGUAUUUAUGCCCAAUAAUUCUAAGAGAAAAAGAGACAUACAUUCUCAAAAUUUAGAAAAAUAGUCACGUGUGGACCCCAAGUU